AGAACAUUAGGACCGUCGGUCUACUGAGUAAUUUCACCCGCUCAGUAGAAGCCCUUUGUCGC
rfam:Bombyx mori DNA, contig: Bm_scaf2_contig2183, strain: p50T/Dazao, build 2, whole genome shotgun sequence.